ensembl:lncRNA
CCGGUCCACAGCGAGGAACCAACAGAGGCCAUGCCACCCGGAAACCAGCCUCCGGAUUCAUCAGAACACCGUCAUAUUGGGAGGAGGCUCUCUGGAGGCUGAACACAGUAAGAGGAACUACUGAGGCACUCAGACAGACGUCUCUCUCUGUCCUCAGACAGACAGACGUCUCUCUCUGUCUCACAAGGUCAUGCUGUCCCCUCAUGCUCUUCGACCUCUCUGACCCAGCUGACGGAGGCCAGCUGAUGGAGGCCAGCUGACGGAGGCCUGCUGACGGAGGCCUGCUGCCCAUCAGUUAUUGUCGCGAUAACAACAAUACCUGGUGUCUUGCGAUCGGUAAGAGAAAAUCUAUUUGCAAGAGAUGCACGUGUAGCUAAACGCUUUGAGAGGAGGAGGAGGAGGACGCUCUGGUAGAGAGAGGAGGAGGAGGAGGCUCUGGUAGAGAGGAGGAGGAGGAGGACGCUCUGGUAGAGAGGAGGAGGAGGAGGACGCUCUGGUAGAGAGGAGGAGGAGGAGGAAGACGCUCUGGUCCAGAGAGGAGGAGGAGGAGGAGGACGCUCUGGUAGAGAGAGGAGGAGGAGGACGCUCUGGUAGAGAGGAGGAGGAGGAGGAAGACGC